rnacentral:ncRNA from 1 species
AAUGUAAAGGAGGGAAUUGAGUUUCAGAAACCACAGCCAAGGGAACGGGCUUGGUGGAAUCAGCAGGGAAAGAAGACCCUGUUGAGCUUGACUCUAGUCUGGCGCUGUGAAGAGACAUGAGAGGUGUAGAAUAAGUGGGAGGCCACUGCCCGCGGUCGCGCAGGUCACCCCUGCUGUGCCGCGGCCCCGGCCGCCGGUGAAAUACCACUACUCUGAUCGUUUUUUCACUUACCCGGUGAGGCGGGGGGGCGAGCACUGAGGGGCUCUCGCUUCUGGCGCCAAGCGCCCGGCGCGACCCGCUCCAGGGACAGCGUCAGGUGGGGAGUUUGACUGGGGCGGUACACCUGUCAAAGCGUAACGCAGGUGUCCUAAGGCGAGCUCAGGGAGGCCAGAAACCUCCCGUGGAGCAGAAGGGCAAAAGCUCG